rnacentral:rRNA from 1 species
UACGGAGGGGGCAAGCGUUGUUCGGAUUUACUGGGCGUAAAGAGUUCGUAGGCGGUUGCGUAAGUCUGGUGUGAAAUCUUCACCGCUCAACGGGAAGAGGUCACUGGAAACUGCGCAACUUGAGUAUGGUAGAGGCAAGCGGAAUUCCCGGUGUAGCGGUGGAAUGUGUAGAUAUCGGGAAGAACACCUGUGGCGAAGGCGGCUUGCUGGGCCAUUACUGACGCUGAGGAACGAAAGCGUGGGGAGCAAACGGG